UAUCGCGAGUCAGAGUUUGAUCCUGGCUCAGGAUGAACGCUGACAGAAUGCUUAACACAUGCAAGUCGACUCGAGUCUUCGGACUUGGGUGGCGCACGGGUGAGUAACACGUAUCCAACCUUCCGGUAACUCCGGUAUAGCCUUUCGAAAGAAAGAUUAAUCCCGGAUAGUAUGGUGAUUCCGCAUGGUUUCUCCAUUAAAGGAUUCCGGUUACCGAUGGGGAUGCGUUCCAUUAGGCAGUUGGCGGGGUAACGGCCCACCAAACCUACGAUGGAUAGGGGUUCUGAGAGGAAGGUCCCCCACAUUGGAACUGAGACACGGUCCAA
rnacentral:rRNA from 1 species